rnacentral:rRNA from 1 species
AAAGCGUGCGCAGGCGGCUUUGCAAGACAGAUGUGAAAUCCCCGGGCUCAACCUGGGAACUGCAUUUGUGACUGCAAGGCUAGAGUACGGCAGAGGGGGAUGGAAUUCCGCGUGUAGCAGUGAAAUGCGUAGAUAUGCGGAGGAACACCAAUGGCGAAGGCAAUCCCCUGGGCCUGUACUGACGCUCAUGCACGAAAGCGUGGGGAGCAAACAGGAUUAGAUAUCCUUGU